AAUAUUGCGCAAUGGAGGGAACUCUGACGCAGCGACGCCGCGUGAGCGAUGAAGGUUUUCGGAUCGUAAAGCUCUGUCCUUGGGGAAGAAGGCGGCCAUGCAUGGCCACUUGACGGUACCUUUGGAGGAAGCCCCGGCUAACUACGUGCCAGCAGCCGCGGUAAUACGUAGGGGGCGAGCGUUAUCCGGAAUUAUUGGGCGGAAAGGGUGCGUAGGCGGCCUUUUAAGUCAGAUGUGAAAGGCUACGGCUUAACCGUAGUUAGCAUUUGAAACUAAAAGGCUUGAGUGCAGGAGAGGAGAGUGGAAUUCCUAGUGUAGCGGUGAAAUGCGUAGAUAUUAGGAGGAACACCAGUGGCGAAGGCGACUCUCUGGACUGCAACUGACGCUGAGGCACGAAAGCGUGGGGAGCGAACA
rnacentral:rRNA from 1 species